AUUGAACGCUAGCGGGAUGCUUUACACAUGCAAGUCGAACGAGUGGCGGACGGGUGAGUAGUAUAUGGGAAUGUGCCCAGUAGCGGGGGAUAACUACUCGGAAGAGGGGCUAAUACCGAAUAAUAUUGGAGCGGCAGCUAUCGGAUUGUCUAGUUGGUGGGGUAAAGGCUCACAAAGGCUACGAUCCGUAGCUGGUGUGAGAGGACGACCAGCCACACUGGGACUGAGACACGGCCCAGACUCCUACGGGAGGCAGCAGUGGGGAAUUUUGGACAAUGGGGGAAACCCUGAUCCAGCCAUCCCGCGUGUAUGAGAAGGCCUUCGGGUUGUAAAGUACUUUUGGCAGAGAAGCGGUAUCUGCAGAAUAAGCACCGGCUAACUACGUGCCAGCAGCCGCGGUAAUUC
rnacentral:rRNA from 1 species